CCUCGUCGAUCUGCUGCGGGCAGAUGAAAUGGAUGUGCGCGUCCAUGCCGCCGGCCGUGAGGAUCUUGCCCUCGCCGGCAAUCGCCUCCGUGCCCGGGCCGAUCACGAUCGUCACGCCGGGCUGGGUGUCCGGAUUGCCGGCCUUGCCAAUGGCAUGGAUGCGGCCGUCCCUCAGGCCGACGUCGGCCUUGUAGAUGCCGGUCGCGUCGACGAUCAGCGCGUUGGUGAUCACCGUGUCGACCGCGCCGCCUGCGCGGGUGACCUGGCUCUGGCCCAUGCCGUCGCGGAUG
rnacentral:sRNA from 1 species